UCUGGCACUAGAGGCACUGGAAGUGUGGUUGCUGUGACACAUGUGUAUCAGCCAGUAGGUUGCAGAGAGGGGAGAGACUAUGUUUCUGCUCAGUGUUCUGACCUAGGAACAUCUGAAUGAUUAGUAGCCCAACAUU